rnacentral:rRNA from 1 species
AGCAGCCGCGGUAAUUCCAGCUCCAAUAGCGUAUAUUAAAGUUGUUGCAGUUAAAAAGCUCGUAGUUGAAUUUCGGGGUUAGCAGGUCGGUCGUGCCAUCGGUAUGAACUGGUCUCGCUGAUCCCUCCCUCUUGACGAACUGUGAUGCCAUUAAUUUGGUGUCGCAGGGAAUCAGGACUGUUACUUUGAAAAAAUUAGAGUGUUUAAAGCAGGCUCACGCUUGAAUACAUUAGCAUGGAAUAAUGAAAUAGGACGUUUGAUCCUAUUUUGUUGGCUUCUAGGAUUGACGUAAUGAUUAAUAGGGAUAGUUGGGGGCAUUAGUAUUCAAUUGUCAGAGGUGAAAUUCUUGGAUUUAUUGAAGACUAACUACUGCGAAAGCAUUUGCCAAGGAUGUUUUCAUUAAUCAAGAACGAAAGUUAGGGGAUCAAAGACGAUCAGAUACCGUCGUAGUCUUAACCAUAAACUAUGCCGACUAGGGAUCGGAUGAUGUUAAUUUUUAAUGACUC